GCAGCCUGAAAGGGAGGAUAUGCACGGCGCAGCUCCUGUGUCCUGUGCCACGCAUGUCCUGGGGAAAAGUUUAGCUGAGGUGUUUUGGUGAGGACUGUGAAGUGUGUGGUUCCCUGGCUUGCUUCUCCUGGAGAGGCGCCGACAGAAUACAGGAGCCGCUGUUGGAACAAACGGAGAGGAGCAAUGUUCAGAAUCUUCACUACACCUCCUUCACUGU